rnacentral:rRNA from 1 species
UCCGUAGGUGAACCUGCGGAAGGAUCAUUACAGAAAUAGGAGAAGGUUGCUUAACUGCAAUCCUUUUCUUUCUACACAUGUGUUUUUCUUUUUUUUGAAAACUUUGCUUUGGUGGGCCCACGGCCUGCCAGAGAUUAAACUCAACCAAAUUUUUAUUUAAUUGUCAACUUGAUUAACUAAUAGUCAAAACUUUCAACAACGGAUCUCUUGGUUCUCGCAUCGAUGAAGAACGCAGCGAAAUGCGAUAAGUAAUAUGAAUUGCAGAUAUUCGUGAAUCAUCGAAUCUUUGAACGCACAUUGCGCCCUUUGGUAUUCCAAAGGGCAUGCCUGUUUGAGCGUCAUUUCUCCCUCAAACCUUCGGGUUUGGUGUUGAGCGAUACGCUGGGUUUGCUUGAAAGAAAGGCGGAGUAUAAACUAAUGGAUAGGUUUUUUUUUUCCACUCAUUGGUACAAACUCCAAACAUUCUUCCAAAUUCGACCUCAAAUCAGGUAGGACUACCCGCUGAACUUAAGCAUAUCAAUAAGCGGAGGA